CUCGUUUAGAUUGAAGGAGCUUGCUCCUGAUUGAUAAACAUUUGAGUGAGUGGCGGACGGGUGAGUAACACGUGGGUAACCUGCCCUAAAGUGGGGGAUAACAUUUGGAAACAGAUGCUAAUACCGCAUAAAACCUAACACCGCAUGGUGUAGGGUUGAAAGAUGGUUUCGGCUAUCACUUUAGGAUGGACCCGCGGUGCAUUAGUUAGUUGGUGAGGUAAAGGCUCACCAAGACCGUGAUGCAUAGCCGACCUGAGAGGGUAAUCGGCCACACUGGGACUGAGACACGGCCCAGACUCCUACGGGAGGCAGCAGUAGGGAAUCUUCCACAAUGGACGAAAGUCUGAUGGAGCAACGCCGCGUGAGUGAAGAAGGUUUUCGGAUCGUAAAACUCUGUUGUUGGAGAAGAAUGUAUCUGAUAGUAACUGAUCAGGUAGUGACGGUAUCCAACCAGAAAGCCACGGCUAACUACGUGCCAGCAGCCGCGGUAAUACGUAGGUGGCAAGCGUUGUCCGGAUUUAUUGGGCGUAAAGCGAGCGCAGGCGGUUUCUUAAGUCUGAUGUGAAAGCCUUCGGCUCAACCGAAGAAGUGCAUCGGAAACUGGGAAACUUGAGUGCAGAAGAGGACAGUGGAACUCCAUGUGUAGCGGUGAAAUGCGUAGAUAUAUGGAAGAACACCAGUGGCGAAGGCGGCUGUCUGGUCUGUAACUGACGCUGAGGCUCGAAAGCAUGGGUAGCAAACAGGAUUAGAUACCCUGGUAGUCCAUGCCGUAAACGAUGAGUGCUAGGUGUUUGGAGGGUUUCCGCCCUUCAGUGCCGCAGCUAACGCAUUAAGCAC
rnacentral:rRNA from 1 species